AGCGAACGCUGGCGGCAGGCUUAACACAUGCAAAUCGAGCGGGCACUUUCGGGUGUCAGCGGCGGACGGGUGAGUAACGCGUGGGAACGUGCCCUCUGGUUCGGAAUAACUCAGGGAAACUUGAGCUAAUACCGGAUACGCCCUUUUGGGGAAAGGCUUGCUGCCGGAGGAUCGGCCCGCGUCUGAUUAGCUAGUUGGUGAGGUAACGGCUCACCAAGGCGACGAUCAGUAGCUGGUCUGAGAGGAUGAUCAGCCACACUGGGACUGAGACACGGCCCAGACUCCUACGGGAGGCAGCAGUGGGGAAUAUUGGACAAUGGGCGCAAGCCUGAUCCAGCCAUGCCGCGUGAGUGAUUAAGGCCUUAGGGUUGUAAAGCUCUUUUAUCCGGGACGAUAAUGACGGUACCGGAGGAAUAAGCCCCGGCUAACUUCGUG
rnacentral:rRNA from 1 species